UACGUAGGGGGCUAGCGUUGUCCGGAAUCAUUGGGCGUAAAGCGCGUGUAGGCGGCCCGGUAAGUCCGCUGUGAAAGUCGGGGGCUCAACCCUCGGAUGCCGGUGGAUACUGUCGGGCUAGAGUGCGGAAGAGGCGAGUGGAAUUCCUGGUGUAGCGGUGAAAUGCGCAGAUAUCAGGAGGAACACCAAUUGCGAAGGCAGCUCGCUGGGACGUGACUGACGCUGAGACGCGAAAGCCAGGGGAGCAAACGGG
rnacentral:rRNA from 1 species